AUCCAGCUGAUGAGUCCCAAAUAGGACGACGAAACGUGCAUCCUGGAU
rnacentral:hammerhead_ribozyme from 1 species